rnacentral:tRNA from 1 species
AGGGCUAUAGCUCAGCGGUAGAGCGCCUCGCUUACACCGAGAGUGUCUACGGUUCAAAUCCGUAUAGCCCUA